rnacentral:rRNA from 1 species
GAUGCAUUUCUAGAGAUAGAAAGUUACUUCGGUACAUCGGUGACAGGUGGUGCAUGGUUGUCGUCAGCUCGUGUCGUGAGAUGUUGGGUUAAGUCCCGCAACGAGCGCAACCCCUAUUGUUAGUUGCCAUCAUUCAGUUGGGCACUCUAGCGAGACUGCCGGUAAUAAACCGGAGGAAGGUGGGGAUGACGUCAAAUCAUCAUGCCCCUUAUGACCUGGGCUACACACGUGCUACAAUGGUUGGUACAACGAGUUGCGAGUCGGUGACGGCGAGCUAAUCUCUUAAAGCCAAUCUCAGUUCGGAUUGUAGGCUGCAACUCGCCUACAUGAAGUCGGAAUCGCUAGUAAUCGCGGAUCAGCACGCCGCGGUGAAUACGCUCCCGGGCCUU